CCUACGGGUGGCAGCAGUGGGGAAUAUUGGACAAUGGGCGAAACCUGAUCCAGCCAUGCCGCGUGUGUGAAGAGGUCUUCGGAUUGUAAGCACUUUAAGUUGGGAGGCGUUACCGACAGAAUAAGCACCGGCUAACUCUGUGCCAGCAGCCGCGGUAAUACAGAGGGUGCAAGCGUUAAUCGGAAUUACUGGGCGUAAAGCGCGCGUAGGUGGUUUGUUAAGUUGGAUGUGAAAGCCCCGGGCUCAACCUGGGAACUGCAUCCAAAACUGGCAAGCUAGAGUACGGUAGAGGGUGGUGGAAUUUCCUGUGUAGCGGUGAAAUGCGUAGAUAUAGGAAGGAACACCAGUGGCGAAGGCGACCACCUGGACUGAACUGACACUGAGGUGCGAAAGCGUGGGGAGCAAACAGGAUUAGAUACCCUUGUAGUC
rnacentral:rRNA from 1 species